UACGUAGGGGGCAAGCGUUGUCCGGAAUUAUUGGGCGUAAAGGGCACGCAGGCGGUGAUUUAAGUUUGGUGUUUAAUCCCAGGGCUCAACCCUGGUACGCACUGAAAACUGGGUCACUUGAGUGCAGAAGAGGAGAGUGGAAUUCCACGUGUAGCGGUGAAAUGCGUAGAGAUGUGGAGGAACACCAGUGGCGAAGGCGACUCUCUGGUCUGUAACUGACGCUGAGGUGCGAAAGCGUGGGUAGCAAACAGG
rnacentral:rRNA from 1 species